GACGAACGCUGGCGGCGUGCUUAACACAUGCAAGUCGAACGGAAAGGCCCUGCUUUUGUGGGGUGCUCGAGUGGCGAACGGGUGAGUAACACGUGAGUAACCUGCCCUUGACUUUGGGAUAACUUCAGGAAACUGGGGCUAAUACCGGAUAGGAGCUCCUGCUGCAUGGUGGGGGUUGGAAAGUUUCGGCGGUUGGGGAUGGACUCGCGGCUUAUCAGCUUGUUGGUGGGGUAGUGGCUUACCAAGGCUUUGACGGGUAGCCGGCCUGAGAGGGUGACCGGCGUCAUUGGGACUGCGAUACGGCCCAGACUCCUACGGGAGGCAGCAGUGGGGAAUAUUGCACAAUGGGCGGAAGCCUGAUGCAGCAACGCCGCGUGCGGGAUGACGGCCUUCGGGUUGUAAACCGCUUUCGCCUGUGACGAAGCGUGAGUGACGGUAAUGGGUAAAGAAGCACCGGCUAACUACGUG
rnacentral:rRNA from 1 species